GAUGAACGCUGGCGGCGUGCCUAAUACAUGCAAGUCGAGCGAACAGACGAGGAGCUUGCUCCUCUGACGUUAGCGGCGGACGGGUGAGUAACACGUGGAUAACCUACCUAUAAGACUGGGAUAACUUCGGGAAACCGGAGCUAAUACCGGAUAAUAUAUUGAACCGCAUGGUUCAAUAGUGAAAGACGGUUUUGCUGUCACUUAUAGAUGGAUCCGCGCCGCAUUAGCGAGUUGGUAAGGUAACGGCUUACCAAGGCAACGAUGCGUAGCCGACCUGAGAGGGUGAUCGGCCACACUGGAACUGAGACACGGUCCAGACUCCUACGGGAGGCACCAGUAGGGAACCUUCCGCAAUGGGCGAAAGCUUUACGGAGCAACGCCGCGUGAGUGAUGAAGGUCUUCGGAUCGUAAAACUCUGUUAUUAGGGAAGAACAAAUGUGUAAGUAACUAUGCACGUCUUGACGGUACCUAAUCAGAAAGCCACGGCUAACUACGUG
rnacentral:rRNA from 1 species